ACUUUGGCAUUGCAAGACUGACAGUUGAUUUCGCGUUUAAAAUAUCGCAAGUGUGGAAGUCAAGCGUCGUCGUCGCGUGAAACCGACGGUUGCCCUGCAAGCCUACUUUUAUAAUCUCGUUGCAUAGAGAAACUCUCAACCUGUUGCGCUUUCAAACGCGACGCCCGAUGCACACGCUUUUCGCGCUUUUGGCUGAUUUAUUGUAGUUUUCCGGUUCGCGUAACUUGCUCUCUUUUCCAUUUGCACAAACUAUCGAACGUCUAAUUUGAAAGUGAACAGUGCCCCCAAUUUUUUCUGUGAUAAGUGUAAUCUUUGAAGAGCAUGAAAUAGAACUUGCAAUUACAUAAUGUCGGAUAGUCAAGAUUACGAUGCAAAAAUGGAUCUAAACGCAUCCAGCACUUCUGCCUCCCCGCGAACGCCGCCAAAUUGCGCACGUUGCCGAAACCAUCGAAUGAAAAUUGCCUUGAAAGGUCAUAAAAGAUAUUGCAAAUAUCGUUCCUGUAAGUGCGAGAAGUGUCGCCUGACGUCGGAGAGGCAGCGAGUUAUGGCCAUGCAAACGGCACUACGAAGGGCACAAGCUCAGGACGAAGCCUUGAUGAGAACGCAUUCGGGUCCCAUUUUGGGCAUGCCAAAUAAAAGCCCAUCGCCCAUUCAGGUAAUGGAGCGAAGUCUCGAUUGCGACUCUUCGGCGUCCUCCCAAUGCUCUGGAAGCGGAGGCGUCGGUAUAUCUACUAUAAGAAAAACGACGUCUGUGGAAGCUACACCUUCGACCACCACUGGUCUCGUUGGCACCACCGUCGGGCAAAGCACGGAUCUCUUAGAAGACUGCCAAAAACUCCUAGAAAGGUUUAAAUAUCCAUGGGAAAUGAUGCCAUUAAUGUACGCAAUCCUAAAGGACGCCAGAGCGGAUUUGGAGGAGGCUUCGAGGCGUAUAGACGAAGGAAAACGGGUCGUAAACGAAUACUCGAGAAUGCACAACCUGAACAUGUACGACGGUGUUGAACUGCGAAAUUCUACACAUAACAAGAACCAAGAAAGAAGAUACUUCACCGAUUCAAAUUUCAAGUCUGUCAAUCUUCAGUUUAAAUGCAAUGUGUUGUUUUAAAGACAGUUUUCCAAAUAUCCAACUAUUUAUUUGUUUUAACAAUUACUCAAGAAUUAAUUUAUGCACAUUAGAGUUAUCGGUUUAAAACUAUACAAUAUUAUCGAAUGUGAAUCAAAGGACUUUAUCCACAAAUUACACUGCUAUAAAUUACCAAAUUAUAUCAAAAGAAGAGAUUGCACCAUGUAUUUUUGCUAAGAUCAGGUAGAGCGUCAGAAGUACUAUUGGAAUUCUGCAUUAAGUUAAAGGAUAAAUUUCAUUUCUCCUGGAAAAUGAUCUCAUUGGUGGAUGUAAUUCUCAAAUACGCAAGAGAUGACCAGGAUGAAGCAUGGAAGCA